GUGGCGCAGGGUGAAGAAUAAGUAAUUCCUCGCCCUAGUCGGCAGCGAGUCGGAGUUCCAUGCCCGAUCUCAUCCCUGUGGCGUGGCUAAGGCUGAGUCGAGUCUGAUUCCAUCCGCACACGAUCUCCCUUUCUACGAACUGUUUCCCCAUGACCCUGUUCCCUCGUUCGUGUUUUAAUCAACCCUCUACUGGUGAGUGGUGAGCGGAAGGUUUGACGGCGACCAGCGGAUGUCAGCUCGCAUGGUGGUCGGCGGGUUAGAUCGACGGCAAUUUCGAUGCCCGCAUCGGCGUCAUCAGCAGGCGUAUGUCCUCCAUGUCAGCCGCGCGGCGGGUGGUUGUCGUCGCGGCGCUGCAAUUGACCGUCGUGGCUGCGAUGGUUCGAGCACGGUUGACAUGGAUUGCAGGAGGAUUAGGAUCCCGCUGUCCCUGUUUAAGGUUCGUGGUCCUCCCCUAUUUAUUCUCACGCGCAUGGACCCAACUGGCGUGAUGCCAUUCUUCUCCUUGCAUGCGGCUGCAAGUCCCUCCUCUUACACCAUGUCGAAUUCUAGUUUUUUCUUGCCACCUUACUCCUACUAGGUAACAUCUACUUACUGAUGUGAUUGCUUCCAAGAUUUCAGUGCUUAUGUGUCCUCCGUAAUUUCCCUUUGGAUCUCAUUCGUGCUGGCUCACCACUUGCAUUUCUUGCCCACGAGGUGUUUGUUUUAAUGUCUGAGUGGGAACUGCCGAUGAAAAUGUGCUCAAAGAGGCGCUUCUACCAAGGUGACGCACAGUAAUAGAUUGAUGGUAUUGCUUCUACGAUCUUACGAGUACUGAAUGCCAUGUUCAAGAUUGAGGAGAUAGAUAAGUUCCUUGUGUACAAAGCUUCGGAAAACCUCAUGCCGGCCUGCCGGCCAAUGUGGGAUCUGUAGUGCCGUCGUUGCUCCUCGUUCUUAGGGUCUUCACUGCUGGAUCUCUUUGGUAUUGCUCUCUCUCCAGUAAUUUACACGGGCUUACUGUGGCGUCAACAGGAUGAAGCUUGGUUGAGAGAAGCCCUGUAAUUUGCAAAUAUUUCUGGAGCUCUCACCGGGUCAGACAGAGGAGCUACUCAUGCACAGCAAGUGGCUAAUACCCUAACCGAUGUACUCCCUGUUCUACUAAAUCAGCGACGAGUAAUAUGGAACGGAGGGAGUAGCUUCUUAAGUCAGAGAGGCACACAGUUCUCAUCUUGUCUUCUAUGUAAUGUUCCGCCUAAUACACAUUUUGCAGACAGGCACCAAUGUUCUUAUUCAAUGUGUCUACGCACGGCAAACUUGAUGGCACUGUCUCGCUAGGCAUGAUCCUGAGGCCAAAUAUUUGGGAUAAUCUGGAAGACUGUUGGAUACACAUGGCAGAUUGCUGAAGGCAGGUCGAUUCUUUAGUUACGCUCACAUGUUGGAUCUUGUGGAAGCAAAAGAAUGCAAGAGUGCAGCACAAUGUUAGUGAUCUUGUGGACUGAAUCAAGGAUGAUUACAAACUCUGGAAAAGGGCUAGGGCGGAGGGAGCUGAACCAAUAGAGUAGUUAGCAUUGUGUUAGUUGGAGGGAGUAUAUCUGUUUUUUCUAUAAAACUAUAAAACUCGGGUAUGCAAAUCGUCUACUCUUGAAGAAUAAUAGUACUAGGAUAGUUUUAAGUUUCCUUUUCUGUACUAUCAUAAAAAAUGGACUCGGGUUCAAUUAUAUUAGAAUAAUUCAACCUGGCUGUUUGGUGCCGUGUCGGUGUUCCAAACAAGGUGCAAGAUGGCAUAAUGUAUUUUACCUUCUAACU